rnacentral:rRNA from 1 species
UGGGGAAUAUUGGACAAUGGGCGAAAGCCUGAUCCAGCCAUGCCGCGUGAGUGACGAAGGCCUUAGGGUUGUAAAACUCUUUCGUCGGGGACGAUAAUGACGGUACCCGAAGAAGAAGCUCCGGCUAACUUCGUGCCAGCAGCCGCGGUAAUACGAAGGGAGCUAGCGUUGUUCGGAAUCACUGGGCGUAAAGCGCACGUAGGCGGAUAGUUAAGUCAGGGGUGAAAUCCUGGGGCUCAACCCCAGAACUGCCUUUGAUACUGGCUGUCUCGAGGUCGAGAGAGGUUGGUGGAAUUCCUAGUGUAGAGGUGAAAUUCGUAGAUAUGUGGAGGAACACCGAUGGCGAAGGCAGCCCCCUGGGUUAACACUGACGCUGAGGCUCGAAAGCGUGGGGAGCAAACAGGAUUAGAUACCCAAGUAGUCCCUGAGCGGGCUGGCAAGGCGCAU